rnacentral:rRNA from 1 species
UACAGAGGGGGCAAGCGUUGUUCGGAAUUACUGGGCGUAAAGGGCGCGUAGGCGGCCUGUUAAGUCGAACGUGAAAUCCCCGGGCUCAACCCGGGAACUGCGUCCGAUACUGGCAGGCUUGAAUCCGGGAGAGGGAUGCGGAAUUCCAGGUGUAGCGGUGAAAUGCGUAGAUAUCGGGAAGAACACCCGUGGCGAAGGCGGCUCUCUGGGAACGCAACUGACGCUGAGACGCGAAAGCGUGGGGAGCAAACAGG